CCGGCACGGGUGAGUAACACGUAUCCAACCUGCCGUCUACUCUUGGCCAGCCUUCUGAAAGGAAGAUUAAUCCAGGAUGGCAUCAUGAGUUCACAUGUCCGCAUGAUUAAAGGUAUUUUCCGGUAGACGAUGGGGAUGCGUUCCAUUAGAUAGUAGGCGGGGUAACGGCCCACCUAGUCAACGAUGGAUAGGGGUCUGAGAGGAAGGUCCCCCACAUUGGAACUGAGACACGGUCCAA
rnacentral:rRNA from 1 species